AGGGUUUGAUCCUGGCUCAGGACGAACGCUGGCGGCGCGCCUAACACAUGCAAGUCGAACGGAAUCUAUUGGAAAGCUUGCUUUCUGGCAGAUUUAGUGGCGGACGGGUGAGUAACACGUGAGCAACCUGCCCUAAAGAGGGGGAUAACGUCUGGAAACGGACGCUAAUACCGCAUAACAUCACGGGAUGGCAUCGUCCUGUGAUCAAAGGAGCAAUCCGCUUUAGGAUGGGCUCGCGCCCGAUUAGAUAGUUGGUGAGGUAACGGCCCACCAAGUCGACGAUCGGUAGCCGGACUGAGAGGUUGAUCGGCCACAUUGGGACUGAGACACGGCCCAG
rnacentral:rRNA from 1 species